rnacentral:rRNA from 1 species
GCGAAAGUUGAGAAGGAAGAGACCGUAUCGGUUUAUUAUAACAGAAAUUGAAAUUGGUAAUUUAUAAGCAUACAAUGAUGAAUAGAACGUCACUGUAUUACCUUUUGCAUAAUGGAACUGCAAGUUAUGUUAAUAUGCAAGAUGAUGUAGUCGAAGCGAAAGCGAGUUUUAAAAGGCGUAAGAGUAUAUUAAUGUAGACCCGAAACCAAGGUGAUCUAUUCAUGUGCAGGUUGAAGCCUUUGUUAAAAUUAGGUGGAGGGCCGAACCGUUGAAUGUUGCAAUAUUCUCGGAUGACGUGUG